UGAGGAGAUGAAUGGAGAAAUAUCAUCUCUUUCAGACACAAUCAGAAACAUAGAGAAGGAAAUGGAAGCUGAGGACAUUCUGUUCUUACAGUAUCCCUUUCAGAACUUCAAGUCUACACAGAAAAAAGCUCAGCUCAAACCAAAGGAUCCAGGUAAGACAUCAGGAGCUCUGAUCAAUGUAGUGAAACACCUUUCCACAGUCUGCUUCUGCACUAAUGACACAUUGUUUAUAAACUAUUAGUAACAUGUUAUCAUGUUCUCUUUAUUCAGGGUGUAAAAAGGACACUGAAACUGUACUUAAGUGAAAGUAUGAAUACUGUACUGUGCAGAAAUCUCACUCAGAUAAAAAGUAUGGAGCUAAAAUUAUACUUGAGUAAAAGGAUGAAGUAUCAAUGUUUAGACACACUCAAAUAAAUCAAACUAAAAAGCACAUUGUUUAAAAAUAUUUUUUUACAGUUAAGUAUAAUUUUUAUGUCAAAUCAUUUCUAGUUUUUGCAAGUGUGUGGGGGUGGGGGUCCUCACCCAAGGGGGCUAAAGGAAGCCCUCUUGCGAGUGCCAGCGAAACUAAGGUCAUAUCCACUCAGUACUAAGCCCCUGUAGCUCAACUCGUUACCAGCUUGGGAGAGGACCCAAGGGAGCUAAAGUAAGCCCUCAUGCGAGUGCCAGCAAAACUAAGGUCAUAUCCGCUCAGUACCAAGCUGUGGCAUGGGAUCAAAGUUAACAGAAGUGUCUGUGAGGAUGUCAGCUUUGUGGUUAAUUUCUUUGAAGAAGUCCCAGAUAGCCCCUUUUAUCACCUCCAAAUCUUUCUGGCUCAAUACGGGUUCAUUGGAUGUACUGUUGUCCUGACCUGUCCAGGGUGUAUCCUGCCUUCCACCCAAUGACUGCUGGGAUAGGCUCCAGCUCCCCCUGCGACCCAGAAGGAUAAGCGGCUUAGAAGAAGAUUGUUGUCCUUAUGUGGGUGCUUUUUUUUUCUUCCCUCAUCAAGUACAUCAAUUUGCCCCAAGCAUGGGAGUUUUGGUAGGGAGUCUUUUACCCCAUUCUCGCGGGGUGGGCAGUUUGGGUGCUCUACCAAGUUGUUCUUGGCUUUGCCCUAGCUCUUUGUCCUGGGAUUUAAGUUAUGUCACCACCAUGAUAGCUAUUUUACCAUGUUAUUGGUUUACCUGUUUCUCAGACAGUGGCCACAUACCCCAAAAGUACAGCCUUAGUUAUGUCUGUUAAAACUGAGUCUAUCUCAUUUAGUAGAUUUCUUCCACUGGAGGCUAGGGACUGGAAGUUGUCCGCCAUGUCGCCUAAUAAUUAGUGAGGUAGUGGAGUUUGAUUAUUGACUUUGUCCCGUAUUAUUCAAAUCAAGCACUAGCCUGUAAUGGAUUUGAUACCAAUCAGCACUUAUGUAAGAGUUUAUCAAUACUGUGCAGAUUUCAAAUGCUUCUGCACACAGUUAUCUAUAAAGUGUAUGUCUAUCCUAGCACAUAAAUUACACAUUGGGAUUAAGGUAGGCUUAUUUAAUCUCAACCAGCAAGGAACUUAACAACUAUCACCAGUAAGAAUUAUAGUUUCACCAUCGGAAUACCAGUGUGACCACUCCUAAUGCCACAAUUCCAGCCGUACAAUCACACAGUGCCAUUCACCUGCAACCAGUGAGUAACUCCACUAGGCUGGUGGAACACUGGACAGGUGGGACCCUGGACUGGCAGUUAAAGUCCUCUCGGGCUGUUUCAAAAUUGGACACCCCAGGGAGGUGUCACUUGUAUCAGUGUUCACCUUGGGGUAGACUCAAAACUGACCAGCCAUGGAUGCAAUAACUUGAGUAGAGGGUACCUCCAGGUGGUUUGGCCAAAAAGGGAAGAGAGCUCAAACCCAGGGAAUAAAGACCCACAUUGCUGGAUCCAACUGAGCCAACCUUCAGGGGUCAGAUCAGAAGGGACCAGAUCCAGGUGCAAUAAAUCUCGAUAUUGAAAACUUUCUACUAAAGGUCACACCAACUGCCAAAAGGGGAAGACACAAAAUUGAGAGAAUAAAAGCCCACGUUGUUGAGUCAAAACUGAACACCAAUUAAAUUAACAUUGUUCACACUACUAAGCAAAAAAUAACACUUAACACAACACAUGAAAUUUUAAUGGGUUAAACUAUGGUUUGCCAGAAGCUAAUGCCAAGCUAACCAAAUGGUAAUGCUAGUCAGAAGGGCUGAAUGCUGACUUGUUUUAAUAAAGCCAUGCUCUGCCAAAGGCAGGCCUCAGCUAUGCUAACAGCAGACCUCGGCUACACUAACAAUAGACCUCGGCUAUGCUAACAGCAGACCUCGGCUACACUAACAGUAGACCUCGGCUAUGCUAACAACAGGGAGCUUUAAAUGUAAACAAAGCUUAACCAAAGCUAACACUAAGCAGCUAACAUCAGAACAAUGGCCCUAGUGAGGAAUGGUGGAUGUAAACAAACAGCUGCGUAACUGCAGCAGAAAUAGCUGAUGGUUGCCUCACUUAGAAUGGUCAGCAGAAAUUGUAAUGAUAAUAUGUAGCAGAACAAGUUUCAAUUAUGUUAAUAUUGCUUGACUCUCAAAUAAAAAGUUGAAUUUACCAAAAUCUACAGAUCAAAAAUAAGAGAGGUAAAAUGCUCACACCAGGGAGGCUUCAAUGAAAAGGGAAUAAUGGAUAAAUAAUGUAAUUCACAGUUAAAAUAUUAUGAGACAAUAUAGCUUAAGGCAAUUUCUGGGAAGCCAACUGAAAAUGUAGGCGUGAAAGGGACCUCCAGUGAGUUAAUCUAAGUAUGGGCAUAUAUAGCUUUAUGGGUAUGUAUGUCUAUCAAAGAAUAUUAACCUAUUAAAUAAAAUAGCAUUGAAAACCUGAGUGCAUAAAAUGUGAGCACCGUCGAGAAGACAGACUUCAAGCCCUCCAGGAGGGGUCACUUGGGAGCCAUCUUGAUUUGGAGAAGCACACGUGCGGGUGUCUCGAGGCUGCACAAGGAUGCAUGGCUGCGGGUGAAGUUCCGAGGUCUGUGUGGCAAUCAGAAGAUUGUGGUGCAAUCAGGUUUCCGAGUCUAGUUGAUAUUAACCUAACUCAAUCCCUCCAUUUGGCUGAGAAGAAUUUGAAGUAAUCAGUCGAUGCCCGGUCAGCAGACUGUUUCAUCUUCCUUUCCUUUCUUUGAGCUCAGAACUUAACUGCCAAAAUGCAUUGUGCUUGGGUUUUGAUUGGCUGUAGGCCCUCCCCUUUGGAGGUGGAGCCAGAGUGCAGAUAGGUCCUUCUCAUGUAAAGAGUAAUUAGCUAUUCAUUGUUUCCAACUCUGAUUGGUAGUGCAUAAUCUAUGAGUGCCUCUCCAAGUAUCACACCCUACUUUGUUUUUAAAUCUUAAACUGUUAUAAACCAGGCAAUGAUAUGCCAUUUACAUACCAUACCAGUUUAGGAGGAUUAUUCCUUUAAACUUGCAAAACCAAACGAAAAAAACAAGCAGAACAUUUGUUUAUGUUUCGUACCAGAUAGUUUUACCCAUGUUACCUAAAAAACAACACACAUAUUAAAAGACACAAGUGUAGCGUGCUUUGCUGUUUUUAAUUCAUAAACUGAUCAGAACUUUUUGAGCAAAGUGAGAUCUGCAUCUGCAUGCGGCAGGAUGUUUAGCAGGACCAAUAGUAAAUUUAUGGCUGACUGCUAAAGACAUGUCUCACAACCCCCAUUUGCCCCCCCCCCGCCUUUGGCAACCUGGUGCAGAAGUGGGGAGGGGGGUGGCUCACCUCAGAACAGACCUACUUUGACCCAGAGGUCUGAAGACUUUCUUUUUCUGUCGACUAACAGUUUAAGGGCAACGUAAUGGAACGUUAUGCCACCCCUUUAUAAACGUCCUGAAGAGACCUUUGGACGUCACUGAAGUAAAUUUUGGGAUACUAACAAAUUGUGACUUUUGAAAAUUCCUCUCCCUCUCUCUCACACCCAUACAUCUCACCUUCCUCCACAAAGAGAGACAUCUUAUCUAAAACAAAGGCCAAAGAUGGCCCACCAAUCAACCCUGGGUGAGGGGAGUGUUGAGACCUCACGAAUCCCUGAGCAGACCCCUCGGUGUGGCCAGAUACUCUUAAGUGCAUUCCUUCAGUAUCAUAAAUUUGGGGUCUGUGCAGAGGCUAGGCUCCUGAGAGCCCUGCUUUCUGGCAAAUUAUUCACUAUGUGAUCUUUAAUCAAGUAUCAAUCAAAUGCCUUUCCUUUAUCAAACUGUGAAGAACACCUCUGUUACUGUUAACAUGUUGCCUUGUCAGAUGUGAAUUGAUUAAUCCCUGCCGAAGGGAGCUAAUACCAAACUUUCUACACUGUAUUCUUUUAUAUUCUAGUAGUUAUUUUGAUUCUUGAAUUGUAACCCUUCUUCACUGAUCUAGGUUAUUGUAUUGAUCUUUGAUCAUUCACAACUAUAUUCAUUUCACCUAUUAUAUAAUUUUUCUUUUUCCUUUGUUUGAGAAACAAGUCUUCUUGUAGUGUUAUUAGAAGCAGGAUUCUAAAGUUUGUAGCUUGUGUGACUAUGUACACUUUAAUCAUAGAGUUUCUGCCAACAUAUCUAUAAAAUUAUUGAUGAUUAUGUACUCACUUAUUUUACUCUGAGUUAUUAUGUAACCGUUCGUGUAAGCAUUGUUUAGAAAUAGUAAUUGACGUAUAACCUUGAAAUUGUCUUUUAACAAUGUAAUUCUUUUGUCUAAGUAGUUCCUACUUCUUAUAUGACUAGAAUGGUUAAGGAUUCAACUAAUUGUAUGUAACCAUAUUAUGGUAUACGUUAAGGGAUAAUAAUCUGUAAGCUCCAUAGUCAUUUGUAAUAGUCACUAUGGAAAUAAUAAUGUUUUAUAUAUGAAAUUGCAUGCUUCUAAGUUUCUUUUACUUAAGUGUAACCACACCCAGAAUAUCCAAAGGAUUAUGUGACACUUGAGCAGCAUUCAAAGAAAUUGCAUGUUCAUUAUAUGCAACCUAACAAACCAAACAGAACCUUUUCCCCGCCUUAGCUCUGCCUUAGCUCUGCCUCAAGUUCUUUCUUUAAAGUCAGCAAGAAAGAGAAACAGUCAGAAGAAUGAGAAGAAGAAACAGAAAGACAGGGAAAGUUGGCCCUGAAGGGAGCGAGACAGCCAACAUGUAACCUUAACGAAACUCGAAGUAGAGAAGCCUGUUCUCCUCGUUUUGCACUUUAGCCAAGUUCUGCAGAUCUGAAAUGUUAGUUGUUUGUCUUGUGUCUUAAUCCGUUUUGUUACAUUUACUCAGUAAUCUUAAAGUGUUGUAACUGUAAGGUUAGACUAUUGAAGAGUUGCAUCUAGCUGUGUUUGUUUUUCAAGUUUCGUCAAUCUAUUUUGAAAGUCUAAUUGCCAAAGAUUGGCCGCUCAGAACCUAGUUUUAGAACAGAAACAGAGGCAAAACAGUGCUGACCGAAAUCCACAUCAAGAGCCUGCUCCGACCACCACCUGCCUCCAUCGCCAAGAAGAAGAUCUGCGCUCCUCACCGGAGAGGCCGCCAAGUGUCGCCGGAAGCCUGCCUUGCCAGUGGGGUCCGGUCCAAAGCGUUGACCAAGGGCUUGCACCUCUAGCGGCCUUGCCUUUGACCUG